AGGACGAAUGCUGGCGGCGUGCUUAACACAUGCAAGUCGAGCGGUAAGGCCUUUCGGGGUUACACGAGCGGCGAACGGGUGAGUAACACGUGGGUGAUCUGCCCUGCACUUCGGGAUAAGCCUGGGAAACUGGGUCUAAUACCGGAUAUGACCUCAGGUUGCAUGACUUGGGGGUGGGAAAGAUUUAUCGGUGCAGGAUGGGCCCGCGGCCUAUCAGCUUGUUGGUGGGGUAAUGGCCUACCAAGGCGGACGACGGGUAGCCGACCUGAGAGGGUGACCGGCCACACUGGGGACUGAGACACGGCCCAGACUCCCUACGGGAGGCAGCGAGGUGGGGAAUAUUGCACAAUGGGACG
rnacentral:rRNA from 1 species